rnacentral:misc_RNA from 1 species
GUAGGUGAACCUGCGGAAGGAUCAUUAGUGAGGCUUCGGCCAUUGGAUAUUACAAACCUCUGUGAACACACCGCCCUCGGGCAUUACAAACUUGAAGUAACGAACGUUGAAUGGGAAUAAACACAACUUUCAACAAUGGAUCUCUUGGCUCUC